UCGAGACGUCAGCGAGAUUCUUGAGGCGGCUGAUUUCCCCCGUGUCCAGGAGAGGCCGCCUCUGCUCCCCCACUUCCCGUGCUCCCUCCUCGACAUGGAGGCGCUGAAUCGAGGGUCUACAACGAUGCCAUGACCUGAGCGCGCUGCAGCGCCUGUGAGAUCCCCAUCCGGGUAAUCUCGGAGGCCAGAUUGAAGCCCGCCGAGGUUGGCUGUCGUCCAGCAUAUUUUCUGACCAGAUAUCUCUCAGCCAAUCUCGCCCACUCCAGGGAGGUCGAGCCAGCAUCAGCAUGCUUGAUGAUGCGUCGGGAGCUCAAAUACAGGAGCAGCAAACAAUGGAGGAUUUUGGGAUACUUGGGAGUGGAGUAGCAAGCCAUGUCGAACUGACAUCAAGUUCGGGAAAGGAGUGGUCUGCAUUCAGGUGGAUUAAAAACACAGUUCUUGUACUGCUUCAAACAUGCAUGUUUAUCUCUAUAGAAAUUUCGUCUCAAUAUUAUUAAAAUCAUUUGUUUGGACUUCUUGGACUAACUGAACUUUUUUGGCGAAUCCAACAGUUUGUUCAGAAUCAUUCUAUUUUGUUCUUGCCUGAGCCAAUCAUCGUAUGCCUUGGUAAUGUUUCAUGUGCUAAACCUACAAUUAAAUGACCACCCAACUUAUAGAUGGGUGGCACACAGGUGAUAGCUUCACCAAAAUCGUAUACACAUUCUUGAUCUUGUUUUGUUGUGUUUGGGAUGGCUGAAAAAGAGUGAGUCCUUGUUUCAAAUCAAACCACAAUUUAAUCUGGCUUUACAUUUGUUUUCUAAUGAUGUUGUGUUCUUUGAUUUUUUAGAAAAUGCUCGAGUGAAAAAUACAUGUAUUGUGUUGUCUAACCAUCUUUAUAUUGCGGCUGGAUGCAAGGUACUUGACUGGGCAAUUUGAGUGACUCUAGAAAAAGAACCUUGAGUGAGCAAGUACUUUUCACUUUCCCAGAUUACAUGCGUGUUGUGGUGAUACCAAUUAGGGGAAUGAACAAGCAUAUGUGUUGAGAGCUCAUGUACUGUUGUUACAAGUUUCCUGACAUUGACUGAAUUGGCCUAGAAGGAAGGUUGCGCCAAGACAUACUGCACCUAUAAUCAUUGGUUCAGAUGCUGAAGGUCUGCGGAAGCAGGUUAGUUGACAUGGCUCACAUAUGUACCUCUUUACUCAUGAGAUAUGCAUGCUAUGUUUUCCUUUCAUAAGAGUAUGAGUCUGCAAUGCAGGAACUGAGCGUCAUUCUUCCUGCUCAGGAGAAACAAACCAUCAUAAAAAUAGCUUUAGGGAAUGUAUAUGAACUUCGUAAUUACUUGUUAUGGGAGAAUUUUCUCAUUAAAGGAUAUACAUGUGAUAAACUACUGACACCUACUUCCGCUGUUUUGGUAGUUCUAUGUUGUUAUCCAAUUGCAAUUUAACUUCCAUCGGGAAAAUUUACAACUUUGGAAUUGUCUUGUUAUGUUUCCCACCUUUCAUGUCUCACUUGCUACCUGUAUACUAUUGUGGUUUCUAAUGUAGUUGAUAAUGUAAUUGACAUGAGUAUUCCAGUUUGAAUACACUGCUUUAUGAACUUGGUUAAAAAUUGUUUCUUUGAAAAUUUGUUUGUAUUUAGUUUUUUGGCACAUUUCUAUUCUCUAGAUGGUAUCAUUUCAUGGAAACAUAAUUUGGAAAAUAACUUUGUCAUAUUAAACGAUGCAGCUACCUUCUCCAUUCCUUAUAAUGGGAUAUUUGACUGCUCCUCCAGUAAACAAUGCAAUUUCACAACACAGUUACAAUUUGUUUUGAACCAUGAGAGAGAGGGGCUCCAUCAAGUUCAUCCUUGUAUUGGACAAUUGUUCCACCUGGAGUUACUGAUUUUCGUUUCCGCUCUUUCUACCACCUUGCUCUUUGAAUCCGGGGUUUUCCUUUUUAUCGUAGGUCAAUGGUUCUAACCAGCCUCCUUCACAAUCUCCUGGGCAUAUGGACGGAGGAAGAAAGCCUACCAGAAUAGCAGUUGAGGGCAUUGUUCAUCCGCUGAUCUAACAGUGCCAGCUGGUGCUGGCUUUUGCACAUAUACCCUUCAUGAGGCAAGAUAUUGAUACGCAUUUUCCACCUGCUGAAACAAAUAGAGAUAAUAUAUAUCUGCAAUGUUUACAAAUGGACUCUGACAGAGACAGACUGCUGAUAGUUGGGAUUCCAACUAAAAUGUCAAGCCAUAGGCCAUAGAUAUUCCCUACUUGCAUGUUCUAUGUAACGCGCUUGCUUUUCUGUUCCUGGUCUAUUGUACUGUAUGAAAAACAGGCUUGGUAAAUAACUUCUGAAAUUGUAACCCCUGGACAUCUGAAAUGGU